GAUGAAGAACGCAGCGAAAUGCGAUAAGUAAUGUGAAUUGCAGAAUUCAGUGAAUCAUCGAAUCUUUGAACGCACAUUGCGCCCCCUGGUAUUCCGGGGGGCAUGCCUGUUCGAGCGUCAUUUCACCACUCAAGCCUCGCUUGGUAUUGGGCAUCGCGGUCCGCCGCGCGCCUCAAAUCGACCGGCUGGGUCUUCUGUCCCCUAAGCGUUGUGGAAACUAUUCGCUAAAGGGUGUUCGGAAGGCUACGCCGUAAAACAACCCCAUUUCUAAGGUUGACCUCGGAUCAGGUAGGGAUACCCGCUGAACUUAAGCAUAUCAAUAAGCGGAGGA
rnacentral:misc_RNA from 1 species